AUGAACCUCUUUCAGAUUUUCCUCUCACACCCAAGUAGACCAUUUGAUACACCUGCAGAGAUGUGCACAGCCAAUUUGGAGGCUACUGGUUGUAACGUUUGGAUGGGAGAGACAAGGAGACCUGCUUGGGGACCAACUGCUUUCCUACCAGGCACUGCAUUAUCUGACAGAUUGGAUUGGUUGAGAUAUGGCUUGGUCAGAGUGUGUGGAAUGAAUGACAUUUGUGGAUGUUGACAUUAGCCAGGCUAUUUGGAAUAUUUUACAGGAAUCCCAGCUCCCUCCCAGCUGAACUGUUCCCCUGAGACAAUACUCACCUGGCCGAGACACCUGGAGGACGUGUACCCCAAGGUGAGUAAUUUUAACCCUCAUUGUGUUCCCAGCCUUUCCUGGAAACAAUGUUUCUCAUUCAGUUUUAAAAGUCAACAGAUGAAAAUGGAGUCAGACAAAAAGCAAAGCUGUGCGAUUGUCCGCUUCUAACUAGGCUUUUCUGUUGAGGCCUUUGUUUGUACUCCUGGGACAAGAGAAGUAUUUAGAGUAAAGGGGGGAAAAAGUGCCUGUACUAAUACGAUUUCCAUCUGAUGUAAACAGGCUUCACCCCCCUCAACAGUGCUUCCCUUUAAGAUAAAUAUUAGCAUGGUCUCGUUAAGGAUUUUUUUCUCUACUUUCACUAUGAAGACAAAAAACAAAGCUGCCUAGAUAGUUAGAAAACAGUGAGGCAUCUGUUCUUGCCAGUGAAUUCAUCUCUUGGGUCAUGGAAAGUAAAACAGAAAAACAAUGAUUUUUUUGUUGUUGUUGUUUUUUGUUUUUUAGGCCUGCACCUGUGGCACAUGGACGUUCCCAUGCUAGAGGUUGAAUCAGACCUGCAGCGGCCGGCCUACACCACAGCCACAGCAACGCGGGGUCCAAGCCACGUCUUGGACCCACACCACAGCGCCCAGCAACACCAGAUCCUUAACCCACUGAGUGAGGCCAGGGAUGGAAGGCGCAUCCUCAGGGAUGCUAGUCAGGUUUGUUACCACUGAGCCACGAAGGGAACUCCUUAAUGAUGAUAGUUUUAAGACAAGGUGUCAAAUAAAUAAAAAUAUAGGGACA
rnacentral:lncRNA from 1 species